rnacentral:lncRNA from 1 species
GUUCUUAAAUGUUUAUCUUGAUUUUCAUUUUAUCCUUUUUCCUUAGCUGGGAUUCUGUCCCUGACCGUCUUCACAGUCCAGGUGAUCUUGACUACUGCUUUACAGAGAAUUGGAUCUGAGGUGUGGAAACAGGAAGAGAACUAGAACUGGAAGUAAAGCAUUGAAGAUGUGACUGAAUUGCUGCAAUCUCAUGAUCAAAUUUGAAUGGAUGAGGAGUUGCUUUUUAGGGAUGAGCAAAGAAAGUGGUUUCUCGAGAUGGAAUCUACUGGUGAAGUUGCUGUGAACAUUGUUAAAAUGCCAAUAAAGGAUUUAGGAAUUACAGAAACCUGGUUGAUAAAGCAGUGCCAGGGUGUGAGAGAGUUGACUUCAAUUUUGAAAUAAGUUCCACUGGCUGGGUGUGGUGGCUCACACCUGCAAUCCCAGUACUUUAGGAGGCCGAGACUGGUAGAUCAUUUGAGGUCAGGAGUUCAAGACCAGCCUUGCCAACAUGGUGAAACCCCACCUCUACCAAAUUAGCCAGGUUGCUCCUUGAGGGCAGGACAGUUCUUAUGGCUUUAUCCGUUGCGUAAGCACAGAGAGGUCUGCGAGGUCAAAACUAUUGUCAUGAUAGCAAGAUGCCUGUCUUUUUCAUUUAUUCUCACGGUGUGCAGAGGCUACAUGAUGUGUGAUGACAUCCUCAUUGAUGUUAAUGAAUGGUGCUAUACUUGAAUUUUCUAAGGUGUCAUUAGGUAGGUUUAGGUAUG